GUUCAAGUUCAUGCUCAACUGUGGCUACUUCUCUGAACCCAAGAGGCCACCAGCCCCUAGCUGCCUUGGCCAUUGCUGGGGUGGGCAUUAACUGGGAUCUUGAGCCCCCGUUUCUGCUGAUGGUCGACAACUUAAACUUGCCAAGUCAAGGUGUAGUGGAGAUAGUCUCGGCAGAUGACAGUCCUCUGCAUCUUCAUCUUGGUCACCAUGCCAAAGAGGAUCCGCCCUCGAAUGGAGGCAUUACCAGUGAAGGGGCAUUUCUUGUCAAUGGUCACCUGGGCUGGAGUGCAGUGGUGUGGUGGUGCAAUCGCAGCUCACUGCAGCCUCGACUUUCUGGGCUCAAGCCAUCCUCCUGCCUGACUCUCCUGAGUAGCUGGGACUACAGACUCGUGCCACCAUGCCUGGCU
rnacentral:lncRNA from 1 species